GGCUGCAUAGUGUAGUGGUUAGCACGUCUGCUUUACACGCAGAAGGUCCUGGGUUUGCACCCCAGGUGGAGCCA
rnacentral:tRNA from 1 species